GAAUUCCUGUAGUUGAAGAGUAAGAUUUUGUACGGUACAUUUUUAAUGACAGCUUGGAUAUUGGAAUACUCAACUUUUGUUGUAGCCAAUGAGAGGGAUAUGCCACUAAUGGUAUCUAAAUCAUACAGUACGUACUUUAGGAUGGGGACAAAAAUCACAACGAUUUAUUUAUUUAUUUACUUAGUGUAUGUGAGUGCACUGUUGGUGUCUUCAGACACACCAGAAGAUGACUUCAGAUCCGAUUACAUAUGGGUUGUGAGCCACCAUGUGGUUGCUGGGAUUUGAACUCUGGACCUCUGGAAGAGCAGUCAGUGCUUGUAACUCUGAGCCAUCUUUCUAGCCCCCCCCCCCCCCCCCCCNNNAAAGAUAAUUAGAGCAAA
ensembl:sense_intronic Gm28586 predicted gene 28586